CCUACGGGUGGCAGCAGUGAGGAAUAUUGGUCAAUGGGCGAGAGCCUGAACCAGCCAAGUCGCGUGAGGGAGUACUGCCCUAUGGGUUGUAAACCUCUUUUGUCGGGGAGCAAAAGCCGGACGUGUCCGGCUGUGAGAGUACCCGAAGAAAAAGCAUCGGCUAACUCCGUGCCAGCAGCCGCGGUAAUACGGAGGAUGCGAGCGUUAUCCGGAUUUAUUGGGUUUAAAGGGUGCGCAGGCGGAUUUUUAAGUCAGCGGUAAAAUCGUGGGGCUCAACUCCAUCCAGCCGUUGAAACUGGGGAUCUAGAGUGUGCGAGAGGUAUGCGGAAUGCGUGGUGUAGCGGUGAAAUGCAUAGAUAUCACGCAGAACCCCGAUUGCGAAGGCAGCAUACCGGUGCACAACUGACGCUCAGGCACGAAAGCGUGGGUAUCGAACAGGAUUAGAUACCCCAGUAGUC
rnacentral:rRNA from 1 species